CUUUCCCUCUCAAAUAGAGGCUCUCGAGAGAGCACAGCCGAAGAAAACGGUGGAGGGAAGGGAAAGGAUCCAUCCUUCGUUCAUCCGCAAUCGCGAUUCCUCCAACUCCCUUCACCCAAUUCCUCUCUGCCGCAGCAAUUUGCCGCAUUUCAAUCCCGAGUAACCAAUAACAACAAGGAGGCCGAUCAAAGAAUGGUGUUUCCUGGAGAGCUGGGAGUCUAUGUUGAUAAUAUCGCAUUCCAGCGCAUCGGGUACUCCAUGGAUGAUAGAAGCAAGAGGACUUAAAAAGAACUUCACAUGACAAACCAACGGGUGACUCAAUGCUGACCACCUUGCCACCUACUACCAAAGAUUAAACUCAAUGCUAACUGGUUUGAUAUAAACAUGAUUUUGUAUGUCUCCGAGCAUGCCUCGCAGAAAGAAUGGUAUUCCUGACUAGGAUUUUAGCAAUAGGAAGACCAUUUGAGGACAAAAUUGGCACAAAGAACAGUUGAAGACAAAGUGAAAGAUGAACACUACAUGUAAAAUUUUGGAAAGUUACUCAGCUUAGCUUUUCAUGAGAUUACUGUUUAAACUCCUUUCCCAAUGAUAGUGUUUCAACCUCGAUUUCUUUUCGGUA